AGGACACCAGUAAAGCAUAUCUCCAGAGCUAGAACUCAUCCCACUUAGGAAGUCCUCAAAGAUGGUGCUGCCAUUAAUUCAACCCCACUUCUGCACAUUCCUACUGUUGGUGGUUUCAAACCUGCUCCUGUGGGAGAAAACUGCAUCAAUUUCUGCAUGUCACACAGAUGAGGAAGGCUGCAUGAAACCCCUUGUAGAAACAUUUAACAAUGCCAUCCAGAGAGCUGAAAUCAUCCUUAAUGUUUCUGAGCAAAUGCAUCAAGAGUUUCUCCACAAUGAGUUCUCUUCCAGACACUUCACACACUUUAACUCACAACUGAUUAGGCAGGAUCAGCUUGUUCUCAGAGCCAGAACUUACUGCCACUCUACUAUCACAAACCCUUCAAAUAUUGGACCUGAAUACAAAAAUAUAAAAACCAAAAAGUACUUAAAAAUGUUGAUCAAUUUUGUGGGUGCUUGGAUCAGCCCACUGUACCAUCUAGUGAUUGAACUGAGUGCCAUGAAUGAUGUCCCUGAAAGUAUCCUCUCAAAAGCCAAUGAGAUUGAAGAGAACAACAGGGAGCUCCUGAAUGACCUUAGGUGGAUACUCACCAAGCAUUAAAACGUUAACUAAGACAAUGGGGAGCUAAACUAAAGGAUCACAGCAUUCGGAUGUUUGAGAAUCAUCUCCCUAAGAUGUUACUGGCAACUCCAACAUUUAACAAAUGCUUCUAAUUUCCUCUCACUCUGGGAAUCAGAAUGAAACACAACUGUUCUUCAUGGACAUUUAGAGAACAACUUUCCUGGGUGGAGUGAAAGAGCUCAGCCAUUUGACUGCAGCCAUUGUGUGGCUCUUCAUAUUAAAUCACCAUCUGAUCCUCAUCACAUGUUUAUCCUACAGCGAAGAUGAAGAAAUUAUUUCCUACCUGGGAACAUCUUCCAUCCAUAAAAUCAACUGACAAAAAUUACCAAUUUUU